CCUACGGGUGGCUGCAGUGGGGAAUAUUGCACAAUGGGGGAAACCCUGAUGCAGCGACGCCGCGUGAAGGAAGAAGUAUUUCGGUAUGUAAACUUCUAUCAGCAGGGAAGAAAAUGACGGUACCUGUCUAAGAAGCGCCGGCUAACUACGUGCCAGCAGCCGCGGAAAUAGGGAGGGGGCACGCGUUAUUCGGAUUUACUGGGUGUAAAGGGAGCGUAGGCGGGUCAGCAGGUCAGACGGUAAAGUCCGGGGGUCAACUCCGGUACUGCUUUUGAAACUGGUGAACUAGAGUGCAGGAGAGGUAAGUGGAAUUCCUAGUGUAGCGGUGAAAUGCGUAGAUAUUAGGAGGAACACCAGUGGCGAAGGCAGCUUACUGGACUGUAAAUGACGCUGAGGCUCGAAAGCGUGGGGAGCAAACAGGAUUAGAUACCCCUGUAGUC
rnacentral:rRNA from 1 species